GAUGAACGCUGGCGGCGUGCCUAAUACAUGCAAGUCGAGCGAACAGACGAGGAGCUUGCUUCUCUGACGUUAGCGGCGGACGGGUGAGUAACACGUGGAUAACCUACCUAUAAGACUGGGAUAACUUCGGGAAACCGGAGCUAAUACCGGAUAAUAUAUUGAACCGCAUGGUUCAAUAGUGAAAGACGGUUUUGCUGUCACUUAUAGAUGGAUCCGCGCCGCAUUAGCUAGUUGGUAAGGUAACGGCUUACCAAGGCAACGAUGCGUAGCCGACCUGAGAGGGUGUACCGCCACACUGGAACUGAGACACGGUCCAGACUCCUACGGGAGGCAGCAGUAGGGAAUCUUCCGCAAUGGGCGAAAGCCUGACGGAGCAACGCCGCGUGAGUGAUGAAGGUCUUCGGAUCGUAAAACUCUGUUAUUAGGGAAGAACAAAUGUGUAAGUAACUAUGCACGUCUUGACGGUACCUAAUCAGAAAGCCACGGCUAACUACGUG
rnacentral:rRNA from 1 species